rnacentral:misc_RNA from 2 species
UUGAAUUUAAUGUAGAGUUGGUUGUAGCUGGCCUAAUUAAUAAUUUGGGCAUGUGCACACCUUCUCUUUCAUCCACACACACCUGUGCACCUGUGAGACAGAGUGGGAAUUUUAAUUUAAUUUAAUUGGACCCUCUGUCUACUUAAUUCACACAAACUCUAUUUAUUAUAAAAUGAAUGUAAUUGAUGUAACGCAUCUAAUACU